AAGUCGUAACAAGGUUUCCGUAGGUGAACCUGCGGAAGGAUCAUUAAAUUCAGUAGCUUGCUACUGUUAGGGGGGUUCUAUUAGUCUGUAUAGUAUCACUACUGAUGAGCAGCACGACCCUCUGUCUAUACCCUUGUCUUUUGCGCACUCAUGUUUCCUCGGCGGCUUGAUACCCGCCGGCUGGAUCAAUCUAUAACCUUUUUAAUUUUCAAUCAGCGUCUGAAAAACCUAAUAAUUACAACUUUCAACAACGGAUCUCUUGAUUCUG
rnacentral:misc_RNA from 1 species